GGCUUGAGAUGUGGGUAGUCCGCACGAGCGCACCUUGUCUUAGUUGCAGCAUUGAGUUGGGCACUCUAAGGAGACUGCCGGUGUUAAACCGGAGGAAGGUGGGGAUGACGUCAAGUCAUCAUGGCCCUUACGGCCUGGGCUACACACGUGCUACAAUGGUCGGUACAAAGGGUUGCCAAGCCGCGAGGUGGAGCUAAUCCCAUAAAACCGAUCGUAGUCCGGAUCGCAGUCUGCAACUCGACUGCGUGAAGUCGGAAUCGCUAGUAAUCGUGAAUCAGAAUGUCACGGUGAAUACGUUCCCGGGCCUU
rnacentral:rRNA from 1 species